UUACAAAGGGAAUUUCUUCAUMGUUCUUCCAGAAGUACAUAAUGAGCUAUUUAAAGGGCUUUAGCCUAAUAACUAACUCUUUACAGAAGUACUCUGUUUUACCCAUAGUUUCUGUUGUAUUCAACCACGGUAAAUAUUACAAAUCUCCACCUUUGAAGACAUACAGAAGGYGAAAGACCAGCCCUUUUAAYCUGCUUUUUAUCCUUUCUCMGGUAUGUAGAUUCCAGCCAAUCUCAGACAAUGUUCAAACUUUGCUUGGGUGACUGUUUUAGUUAACAUAUMUGCAGCAUUAUCAGAGUUUCGAGAUCAAUAACUUGCCGUAGGACAUUAUCACUAAGAUUCAGAAUGAUUGCCCCAUAAGCGAUCUCUUCCAUUGUCUCCUUUUCUUCAGUUGACAUCGACUCAGCUCAAAGUCGCCUUUUCCAUCGAACUUCUCAAUCUCAUACCUCGCUACAGCCAUCGCUGGAUCUUGCUUCGUGAAUUAACCAAAACUCCUGUGAACUGUGGCUCUGAUACCAAUUUUGUUAGGGGAAAACAAGAGCUUUUGCCAAUUUAGAAGCUUGAGCGUAAGAGAAGAGUAAGGCGAAGAAGAAGACGAC